UGCCUACGGGUGGCAGCAGUAGGGAAUAUUGGACAAUGGGGGCAACCCUGAUCCAGCAAUGCCGCGUGAGUGAUGAAGGCCUUAGGGUUGUAAAGCUCUUUUACCCGGGAUGAUAAUGACAGUACCGGGAGAAUAAGCUCCGGCUAACUCCGUGCCAGCAGCCGCGGUAAUACGGAGGGAGCUAGCGUUGUUCGGAAUUACUGGGCGUAAAGCGCGCGUAGGCGGCUAUUUAAGUCAGAGGUGAAAGCCUGGAGCUCAACUCCAGAACUGCCUUUGAGACUGGAUAGCUAGAAUCCUGGAGAGGUGAGUGGAAUUCCGAGUGUAGAGGUGAAAUUCGUAGAUAUUCGGAAGAACACCAGUGGCGAAGGCGGCUCACUGGACAGGUAUUGACGCUGAGGUGCGAAAGCGUGGGGAGCAAACAGGAUUAGAUACCCCUGUAGUCGUG
rnacentral:rRNA from 1 species